rnacentral:rRNA from 1 species
GAUGAACGCUGGCGGCGUGCCUAAUACAUGCAAGUCGAGCGAGCGGCGGACGGGUGAGUAACAUGUGGGGAACCUCCCUAUAAGGCUGGGUAAAUACGGGAAACCGGAGCUAAUACCGGAUAUCAUUUGAUCCGCGCGGCAUUAGCUAGUUGGUAAGGUAACGGCUGACCAAGGCGACGAUGCAUAGCCGGCCUGAGAGGAUGAUCGGCCACACUGGAACUGAGACACGGUCCAGACUCCUACGGGAGGCAGCAGUGGGGAAUAUUGCACAAUGGGCGCAAGCCUGAUGCAGCCAUGCCGCGUGUAUGAAGAAGGCCUUCGGGUUGUAAAGUACUUUCAGCGGGGAGGCGUUACCCGCAGAAGAAGCACCGGCUAACUCCGUGCCAGCAGCCGCGGUAAUAC